rnacentral:rRNA from 1 species
UACAGAGGGGGCAAGCGUUGUUCGGAAUUACUGGGCGUAAAGGGCGCGUAGGCGGCCUGUUAAGUCGAACGUGAAAUCCCCGGGCUCAACCCGGGAACUGCGUCCGAUACUGGCAGGCUUGAAUCCGGGAGAGGGAUGCGGAAUUCCAGGUGUAGCGGUGAAAUGCGUAGAUAUCUGGAGGAACACCGGUGGCGAAGGCGGCAUCCUGGACCGGCAUUGACGCUCAUGCACGAAAGCGUGGGGAGCAAACAGG